rnacentral:rRNA from 1 species
AAGCUCGUAGUUGAAUUUCGAGACCGGUUUACUGGUCGUGCUUUUGUACGUACUGGUAUAAUCGAUUUCUCUUUUCUGACGAACUAUAAUGCCAUUAAUUUGGUGUUAUAGGGAAUCAGGACUGUUACUUUGAAAAAACUUAGAGUGUUUAAAAACCAGGCUCUCGCUUGAAUACAUUAGCAUGGAAUAACGAAAUAGGACGUUUGAUUUUAUUUUGUUGGUUUCUAGGAUCGACGUAAUGAUUAAUAGGGAUAGGUUGG